AUUGAACGCUGGCGGCAGGCCUAACACAUGCAAGUCGAGCGGAUGAGUGGAGCUUGCUCCAUGAUUCAGCGGCGGACGGGUGAGUAAUGCCUAGGAAUCUGCCUGGUAGUGGGGGACAACGUUUCGAAAGGAACGCUAAUACCGCAUACGUCCUACGGGAGAAAGCAGGGGACCUUCGGGCCUUGCGCUAUCAGAUGAGCCUAGGUCGGAUUAGCUAGUUGGUGAGGUAAAGGCUCACCAAGGCGACGAUCCGUAACUGGUCUGAGAGGAUGAUCAGUCACACUGGAACUGAGAAACGGUCCAGACUCCUACGGGAGGCAGCAGUGGGGAAUAUUGGACAAUGGGCGAAAGCCUGAUCCAGCCAUGCCGCGUGUGUGAAGAAGGUCUUCGGAUUGUAAAGCACUUUAAGUUGGGAGGAAGGGCAGUAAGUUAAUACCUUGCUGUUUUGACGUUACCGACAGAAUAAGCACCGGCUAACUUCGUGCCAGCCGCCGCAGUAAGAC
rnacentral:rRNA from 1 species